rnacentral:rRNA from 1 species
GCUGACUAGCUCGCCACAACAUUUAGAUUAACCCUACAACAUAAAUACCCUAACAAAACCCAAACGUAAAACAUAAAACAUUCUCCCUCCUUAGUAUGGGCGACAGAAAAGGAAAAUUGAGCAAUAGAAAAAGUACCGCAAGGGAAAGCUGAAAAAGAAAUGAAACAACCCAUUUAAGCCUAAAAAAGCAGAGAUGAAAUCUCGUACCUUUUGCAUCAUGAUUUAGCCAGUAAAUUCGAGCAAAGAGCCCUUUAGUCCGAAUCCCCGAAACUAGACGAGCUACUCCGGGACAGCCUAUCUAGGGCCAACCCGUCUCUGUGGCAAAAGAGUGGGAAGAGCCCCGAGUAGCGGUGAUAAACCUAUCGAGCCUAGUUAUAGCUGGUUGCUUACGAAAUGAAUAGAAGUUCAGCCCCAUAACCUUCUUAAAGCCCCCAGGUUUAACUAAUAUUGUUUAAAAGAAGUUAAAGGAGUUAGUCAAAAGAGGUACAGCUCUUUUGAAAAAGGACACAACCUUAACAGGCGGCCAAGGAUCAUAAUUAUUAAGGCACCUGUUGAAGUGGGCCUAAGAGCAGCCACCUAAUUAGAAAGCGUUAAAGCUCAAACAGAUAUUUACCUAUUAUUCUGAUAAUUUUAUCCCCUCCCCCUAACCCUACUAAGCCGCUCCAUACCCGUAUGGAAAAGAUUAUGCUAAAAUUAGUAAUAAGAGGGGAAAACCCUCUCCCCACACCCGUGUACGUCGGACCGGACCCCCCCACCGAUUAAUAACGAAUUCAAACCAAGAGAACAUUGUAGAAUACAGUCAAGGAAACCCUACAUCUAAAUAUCGUUAAUUUCACACAAUGUGUACCCAAGGAAAGACCUAAAGGAAAAGAAGGAACUCGGCAAACACAAGCCUCGCCUGUUUACCAAAAACACCGCCUCUUGUAAAAUUAGCAUAAGAGGUCCCGCCUGCCCUGUGACUAUGGGUUUAACGGCCGCGGUAUUUUGACCGUGCAAAGGUAGCGCAAUCACUUGUCUUUUAAAUGAAGACCUGUAUGAACGGCAUCACGAGGGCUUAACUGUCUCCUUUUCCAAGUCAAUGAAAUUGAUCUGCCCGUGCAGAAGCGGACAUAAAAACAUAAGACGAGAAGACCCUAUGGAGCUUUAGAUAUUAGACAGAUCUUGUUAAACAAACCAAAAUAAUGGCAUAAACAUAAAGAUUUCUAGUCUACUUGUCUUUGGUUGGGGCGACCACGGAGGAAAAUAAAGCCUCCAUGAGGACUGAGGGCAGUGCCCUCACAACUAAGAGCCACAGCUCUAAGUACCAGAAUUUCUGACCCAAAUGAUCCGACAAACGUCGAUCAACGAACCAAGUUACCCUAGGGAUAACAGCGCAAUCCCCUCCUAGAGUCCCUAUCGACAAGGGGGUUUACGACCUCGAUGUUGGAUCAGGACAUCCUAAUGGUGCAGCCACUAUUAAGGGUUCGUUUGUUCAACGAUUAAAGUCCUACGUGAUCUGAGUUCAGACCGGAGUAAUCCAGGUCAGUUUCUAUCUAUGAAGCAAUCUUUUCUAGUACGAAAGGACCGAAAAGAAGAGGCCCAUGCUUAAAGCAUGCCUCACUCCCACCUAAUGAAGGCAACUAAAUUAGGUAAGGGAGGGCACUCCUGUGCGGAAAAAAACUGCGC